AACGAACGCUGGCGGCAUGCCUAACACAUGCAAGUCGAACGAGACCUUCGGGUCUAGUGGCGCACGGGUGCGUAACGCGUGGGAACCUGCCCUUAGGUUCGGAAUAACUCCCCGAAAGGGGUGCUAAUACCGGAUAAUGUCUUCGGACCAAAGAUUUAUCGCCUUUGGAUGGGCCUGCGUUGGAUUAGCUAGUUGGUAGGGUAAAAGCCUACCAAGGCGACGAUCCAUAGCUGGUCUGAGAGGAUGAUCAACCACACUGGGACUGAGACACGGCCCAGACUCCUACGGGAGGCAGCAGUGGGGAAUAUUGGACAAUGGGCGGAAGCCUGAUCCAGCAAUGCCGCGUGAGUGAUGAAGGCCUUAGGGUUGUAAAGCUCUUUUACCCGGGAUGAUAAUGACAGUACCGGGAGAAUAAGCUCCGGCUAACUCCGUG
rnacentral:rRNA from 1 species